ensembl:lncRNA
ACUACUUCUGUAGAAACAACUACCCUUGGCACAACUCCUGCAGAAACUACUACCCUUGGCAUAACUCCUGCAGAAACUACUACUCCAGGCACAAUGACUCAAACUGCUACUUGGCACCACCACUGCAGAAACCACUAUCAUUGGCACCACUUGUGUGAAAAAAACUAUGAUAGAUACAGAUUCCUUAGAAUGUACCACCACUUGUACACACACUACCCUGUAGAAACUACUUCUGUAGAAACUACUACCCUUGGCGCAACUCCUGCAGAAACUACUACUCCGGGCGCAAUGUCUCAAACUGCUACUUGGCACCACUAUUGCAGAAACCACUAUCAUUGGCACCACUUGUGUGAUAAAAACAACUAUGACAGAUACAGAUUCCUUAGAAUGUACCACCACUUGUACACAAACUACUCUACAGAAACUGCUUCUGUAGAAACUACUACCCUUGGCACAACUCCUGAAGAAACUACUACUCCGGGCACAAUGUCUCAAACUGCCACUUGGCAACACUAUUGCAGAAACCACCAUCAUUGGCACCACUUGUGUGAUAAAAACAACUAUGACAGAUACAGAUUCCUUAGAAUGUACCACCACUUGUACACAAACUACUCUACAGAAACUACUUCAGUAGAAACUACUACCCUUGGCACAACUCCUGCAGAAACUUCUACCCUUGGCACAACUCCUGCAGAAACUACUACUCCGGGCACAAUGUCUCAAACUGCCACUUGGCAACACUAUUGCAGAAACCACCAUCAUUGGCACCACUUGUGUGAUAAAAACAACUAUGACCGAUACAGAUUCCUUAGAAUGUACCACCACUUGAAUACACACUACCCUGUAGAAACAACUUCCAUAGAAACUACUACCUUUGGCACAACUCCUGCAAAAACUACUACUCCAGGCACAAUGACUCAAACUGCUACUUGGCACCACCACUGCAGAAACCGCUAUCAUUGGCACCACUUGUGUGAUAAAAACAACUAUGACAGAUACCGAUUCCUUAGAAUGUACCACCACUUAUACACACACUACUCUGUAGAAACUACUACCUUGGGAACCACUUCAAUAGAAACAACUACUCUGGGCACCACUUCUAUGUAAACUACUUGCCCUACUACCCGAUUCUUUAGAAUGUACUACCACUUGUACAUACACUAGUACUCUUGCAACCCCGUAGCAGAUAGUCCUACAGUUUCAUCACUGUAGAAAUAUCAGCAUUGGUUAAUUCAACAGUAAUAGUAUUGUAAACAUCCACACAUGUAAUGACAACUGCUGGAACAACAAUCUUUGCUAUAUCUAUGUCUGGCAUAUUGUCUGCCUUUGAAUCCUUAGUUGCUGAAAUAUAACACUUCUACAGAAAAUAUUACCCUUGGCGCACUUUUUGUGGAAAGUACUAUUCUGGCCACCACUUCUGGAGAAAGUACCAUCUUUGACUCCACUUCUCCAGAAACAACUACCCUUGGCGCCACCUUGACUGAAACACUGUUCUGAAACUCUGCAAAAUUCUGCAGUGAAUAAUCUUUGCUGCUGUUUACCUUGUGGCAACAGUGGAGGUUGCAGAUUUAAAGAUGUAUGGUGUAUGAAUGACCUGUAUGACUCUUUUAGUUGUAUCUGUGGAACAAGCAUACCAUUGAUCAUGCCACUUCUAACAAGAUAUACAAGAUGAGCAGAUUGUGGGCAAUGAGAUGAGGACAAGGUCUUGUGGUAUUCCCUAAAGACUGCUACUCUACUACAGAUACUGAUCUCUGCGCUCCUGCUUAGUAAAAUAGGAAUAUAAAUUAAUCAAUUUAAAGAUUUUCUUUUGACAAAUUGUAUAUUAAAAAUUAAUAUUUGCUGCAAUUGAUUUUUGAAAAUAUUUUAUGGUUUGUGUAAUGUAAAUGUCACUGUUAAAUGAAUAAAAGAAUUUCACUGAGGUGAUC